rnacentral:rRNA from 1 species
UACGAAGGGGGCGAGCGUUGUUCGGAAUUACUGGGCGUAAAGGGCGCGUAGGCGGCCUUCUAAGUCGAACGUGAAAUCCCCGGGCUCAACCCGGGAACUGCGUCCGAUACUGGAAGGCUAGAAUCCGGGAGAGGGAUGCGGAAUUCCAGGUGUAGCGGUGAAAUGCGUAGAUAUCUGGAGGAACACCGGUGGCGAAGGCGGCAUCCUGGACCGGUAUUGACGCUGAGGAGCGAAAGCUAGGGGAGCAAACGGG